rnacentral:rRNA from 1 species
AUUGAACGCUGGCGGCAGGCCUAACACAUGCAAGUCGAGCGGAUGAAGAGAGCUUGCUCUCUGAUUCAGCGGCGGACGGGUGAGUAAUGCCUAGGAAUCUGCCUGGUAGUGGGGGACAACGUUUCGAAAGGAACGCUAAUACCGCAUACGUCCUACGGGAGAAAGCAGGGGACCUUCGGGCCUUGCGCUAUCAGAUGAGCCUAGGGCGGAUUAGCUAGUAGGUGAGGUAAUGGCUCACCUAGGCGACGAUCCGUAACUGGUCUGAGAGGAUGAUCAGUCACACUGGAACUGAGACACGGUCCAGACUCCUACGGGAGGCAGCAGUGGGGAAUAUUGGACAAUGGGCGAAAGCCUGAUCCAGCCAUGCCGCGUGUGUGAAGAAGGUCUUCGGAUUGUAAAGCACUUUAAGUUGGGAGGAAGGGCGUUUGGCUAAUAUCCAGGCGUUUUGACGUUACCAACAGAAUAAGCACCGGCUAACUUCGUGCCAGCAGCCGCGGUAACAC